rnacentral:lncRNA from 1 species
ACCGUUUCCUAGCACCUCUCGCUGUCCCACCCUGAACGCUAUUGCUGCUGCAAGUGCUAGCAGCUAGAUGCCAAACCACUGCUCCCGACCAUUGGCUGAGAACAUCAUACUCAAACAUUUAAUCUCACACACUAACACACGUACAACUUAGAUAUUGGAGAGGUAAGAUUUCCAUUUCCUGAAGUCCUGGCUUCUUUGCUAAUUUGUAUAUAUUACUGCUAUAAGUUUGAACCCA